AAAUUGAAGAGUUUGAUCAUGGCUCAGAUUGAACGCUGGCGGCAGGCCUAACACAUGCAAGUCGAACGGUAACAGAAAGCAGCUUGCUGCUUUGCUGACGAGUGGCGGACGGGUGAGUAAUGUCUGGGAAACUGCCUGAUGGAGGGGGAUAACUACUGGAAACGGUAGCUAAUACCGCAUAAUGUCGCAAGACCAAAGAGGGGGACCUUCGGGCCUCUUGCCAUCGGAUGUGCCCAGAUGGGAUUAGCUUGUUGGUGGGGUAACGGCUCACCAAGGCGACGAUCCCUAGCUGGUCUGAGAGGAUGACCAGCCACACUGGAACUGAGACACGGUCCAGACUCCUACGGGAGGCAGCAGUGGGGAAUAUUGCACAAUGGGCGCAAGCCUGAUGCAGCCAUGCCGCGUGUAUGAAGAAGGCCUUCGGGUUGUAAAGUACUUUCAGCGGGGAGGAAGGGAGUAAAGUUAAUA
rnacentral:rRNA from 1 species